rnacentral:misc_RNA from 1 species
UGGAAGGAAGGCUAAGGUUUGUGUCUUAUGGUUUUUGAUAAACGCACAUAAUUGAAAUCAAAUCCGUAUAAAAUUAAGUUGCUUAAUAUUAGUGUUCCAUUUACCAUAUGAUUUUGUAUUUAGAAUUUUUUUAAUUUCUAUAUUUUUUUAAUUAUAAUUGAGUGGUUGUAAUUGAUUUAUGUUUAAUUACAUAUUCCUUGAUUCAGGGAAAUGGUGUAUACCAAUUUGUAGACAAGUAUGGUGCCAAUGUGGAUGGAUACAGCCCUAUCUACAACACGGAUGACUGGUCUCCAAGUGGUGAUGUU